rnacentral:lncRNA from 10 species
AAAAUCAUCUCUGACGGUGUUGAGGAAAGGUGAGCAGGGGACUGGCCACCCUAUAUUAGGGUCAAGCCUGAGACACCUGAAGCCCUGGACUUGGAAUCUGAAGCUGUCAUCAGCCAGUACACCUAUGAACCUGUGGAAGACCUGAAGUACCUGUUUAAAAGACAGCCAAAAGAUAAGUAAAUACUUCCCAAAUUUCCUUGGUGUCUUUGUUGCAUAGUUGCUGUAGGCUGGAUAAUAGUAGCCAUUGUUAUAUUUUUACAAUUAAUUUCUUUCCUCCAAACAGAUAGAAUCACUUCCUUUCUAAUAAUUAAGCAAAGUAAAAUGUUGUAAUCCAUUUUUGUAACAAUCAUUCCUGACAGGAUAGGUAUCCAUCACCACCCCUACCCCAAAGUUCCCAUUCUAUAGAACAAAAUAACAAAUAUGUAUUUUUUGUGUUCCAUAAUAGUCACCCAUAGCCUGUGUAUACUGGGACCAGGCAUAUGGGAAUCAACUUUAUUUUACAACAGCUUCUCUUUAGCUCUCCAUCAGUUAAUGGAUUCUGGGUAUUUAUUAAGAACUUUACAUUUAAUGGAAAGAAUGUUAAAUACCACCAGCCCCACUCUGGCAGAGGACUGUUGGC